rnacentral:rRNA from 1 species
UACGUAGGGGGCAAGCGUUGUCCGGAAUCAUUGGGCGUAAAGAGCGUGUAGGCGGCUCGAUAAGUCUGCUGUGAAAGUCCAGGGCUCAACCCUGGGAUGCCGGUCGAUACUGCCGGACUAGAGUUCGGAAGAGGCGAGUGGAAUUCCCGGUGUAGCGGUGAAAUGCGCAGAUAUCGGGAGGAACACCUAUGGCGAAGGCAGCUCGCUGGGACGUUACUGACGCUGAGACGCGAAAGCGUGGGGAGCAAACAGG